CGGCCUCAGGCUUUUGGGCACCUCUGUGUCAGCAGGAGCACUGGGGACUGUGGUGGGCUGGGAUAGAAAGAACAACCCGGAGCCCUGGAACCGCCUGAGCCCCAAUGACCAAUACAAGUUCCUUGCAGUUUCCACUGACUAUAAGAAGCUGAAGAAGGACCGCCCUGACUUCUAAGCCAGGCUGGGCUGAGUUCAACAUAAACCACAGCCAACCACUUCUUCCACUCCUCCGCCCAGACCCCGGGCAGCAGUCUGGCCACCCCAUCCAGCUCCUGCUUCCACAGGCCUGUUCCCACGCAGAGGGGGGCAGCUCCACUCCCUCCUCCCUUGUUCCCAGCAGCGGAAGCGCCUCUGACCCCCCUCUGCCUGAGUCCCAUGAGGGGGAGGAGUCAGGAGGGCAGGGAGCCAUAGAGGUUGACCCAAAAGGCCCAAGCCAGCCCCUCUGCCCUCCUACCCACCCCAGGCGGGCCUCACAGGGUGUGGUGCAGGCUACGUGUUGAGCGUGGCCAACGUGAACCACAGCAAGCAGGGGCCUCUGAGUGCCAAAUGACGUGGCUGGCCCCACGUCUGCUCAGGCUCUGGGCGCUGGCCCAGGAGCAGCAAUGCUCAGCUCGACUAGACUAGUCACAGGUCGCCCGGCAUGUCCAGGUCGGGGCACCUACCCCUCUGGAGACUCAGUGCACCCCUCCCCUGCCCAAGCCUGCUACCUCCCUGCCAGGGCACCACCCUCCACCUCACACCUGGGCCUCCCCUACUGCUCCCUACCCCUCCUCUCCCUUGCUCCCCUCAGUCCCCUGGGAUCAAACAGAAGCAGCCGUGGGCAAAAUACAAUUUCAUUUAACAAAUUGAA